rnacentral:rRNA from 1 species
GACGAACGCUGGCGGCGUGCUUAACACAUGCAAGUCGAACGGAAAGGCCCUGCUUUUGUGGGGUGCUCGAGUGGCGAACGGGUGAGUAACACGUGAGUAAACUGCCCUUGACUUUGGGAUAACUUCAGGAAACUGGGGCUAAUACCGGAUAGGAGCUCCUGCUGCAUGGUGGGGGUUGGAAAGUUUCGGCGGUUGGGGAUGGACUCGCGGCUUAUCAGCUUGUUGGUGGGGUAGUGGCUUACCAAGGCUUUGACGGGUAGCCGGCCUGAGAGGGUGACCGGCCACAUUGGGACUGAGAUACGGCCCAGACUCCUACGGGAGGCAGCAGUGGGGAAUAUUGCACAAUGGGCGGAAGCCUGAUGCAGCAACGCCGCGUGCGGGAUGACGGCCUUCGGGUUGUAAACCGCUUUCGCAUGUGACGAAGCGUGAGUGACGGUAAUGGGUAAAGAAGCACCGGCUAACUACGUG